UACAUAGGGGGCAAGCGUUAUCCGGAAUUAUUGGGUGUAAAGGGUGCGUAGACGGAGAAACAAGUUGGUUGUGAAAUCCCUCGGCUCAACCGAGGAACUGCAACCAAAACUAUUUCCCUUGAGUGUCGGAGAGGAAAGUGGAAUUCCUAGUGUAGCGGUGAAAUGCGUAGAUGUUAGGAGGAACACCAGUGGCGAAGGCGACUUUCUGGACGAUAACUGACGUUGAGGCACGAAAGUGUGGGGAGCAAACAGG
rnacentral:rRNA from 1 species